UAGAGUUUGAUCCUGGCUCAGAGUGAACGCUGGCGGCAGGCCUAACACAUGCAAGUCGAACGGCAGCACAGAGGAGCUUGCUCCUUGGGUGGCGAGUGGCGGACGGGUGAGGAAUACAUCGGAAUCUGCCCAGUCGUGGGGGAUAACUUAGGGAAACUUAAGCUAAUACCGCAUACGACCUACGGGUGAAAGCGGAGGACCGCAAGGCUUCGCGCGAUUGGAUGAGCCGAUGUCGGAUUAGCUAGUUGGCGGGGUAAAGGCCCACCAAGGCGACGAUCCGUAGCUGGUCUGAGAGGAUGAUCAGCCACACUGGAACUGAGACGCGGUCCAGACUCCUACGGGAGGCAGCAGUGGGGAAUAUUGGACAAUGGGCGCAAGCCUGAUCCAGCCAUGCCGCGUGAGUGAAGAAGGCCCUCGGGUUGUAAAGCUCUUUUGUCCGGAAAGAAAAGCACUUGGCUAAUACCCAGGUGUCCUGACGGUACCGGAAGAAUAAGCACCGGCUAACUUCGUGCCAGCAGCCGCGGUAAUACGAAGGGUGCAAGCGUUACUCGGAAUUACUGGGCGUAAAGCGUGCGUAGGUGGUUCGUUAAGUCUGAUGUGAAAGCCUUGGGCUCAACCUGGGAAUUGCAUUGGAUACUGGCGGGCUAGAGUGCGGUAGAGGAUGGCGGAAUUCCCGGUGUAGCAGUGAAAUGCGUAGAGAUCGGGAGGAACAUCCGUGGCGAAGGCGGCCAUCUGGACCAGCACUGACACUGAGCACGAAAGCGUGGGGAGCAAACAGGAUUAGAUACCCUGGUAGUCCACGCCCUAAACGAUGCGAACUGGAUGUUGG
rnacentral:rRNA from 1 species